CCCCUAGACGUUCUGGGCUGCACGCGCGCUACAAUAAUACGCACAGCGAGUAUCACCGAGCUCGAAAGGGCAAGGUAAACAAUAGAAAAGGUACUGUAAUGGUUAUAGAUCCUUGUAAUUAUUGAUCUUCAACGAGGAAUUCCUAGUAAGUAUGUGUCAUCAUCACGCACUGAUUACGUCCCUGCCCUUUGUACACACCGCCCGUCGCUACUACCGAUUGAACGGUUUAGUGAGGGCCUCGGAUUGGUCUCGGCCCGCUCUUUACCGGGCGGCGCCGUUGGUCGAGAAGACGCUCGAACUUGAUCGUUUAGAGGAAGUAAAAGUCGUAACA
rnacentral:rRNA from 1 species